GGUAAUGGGCCGACAUAGGACAAGGGGCUAUAGCACCUUUACGCGCUGGACAAUCUCGGUGAGUGCGGGUCGUGGAGCACCAACCACUGAAGCUAUUGUUGGCACUCUGGCUGCUACUGCAAUGGGUGGACUUCUUGUUGCUGAGGGCACUAGUGAUGAUAGUUCUCUUGGGGCGGAUCAGUCGGCUGGUAAUGACUGGCCUGAAGAUUGCAUCGUCGUGACCCAGGCGGCGUAGCAAGCAUCGCCGUGACAUAGCGUCUGACAAGAACGAACAUUCUUGCGACAAAAUAACGCAAGCAAUUGCAUAUUACACAUCUGAGUGCCACGACCAAGAGUCAUUGGAUUCAAACAAGGGGUUCCCUGCUAGCAUUAGGACUGAGAUGGCACAACACGCUUUCUCUUGGUCCGACGCCGUGUGGUCUCCAUCAUUGGGUAUUGUGGGGAGAUCUCACGGAAUAUGUCUGCUUGCUCCUCCUCAGGAAUUGUAGCUCUGUUGAUGAAGCACAGAGAAAAAAUAUUAUACAAAAAUUCAAGAUAUUCAAAUUCAAAAUAGCA